GACGAACGCUGGCGGCGUGCUUAACACAUGCAAGUCGAACGGAAAGGCCCUGCUUUUGUGGGGUGCUCGAGUGGCGAACGGGUGAGUAACACGUGAGUAACCUGCCCUUGACUGUGGGAUAACUUCAGGAAACUGGGGCUAAUACCGGAUAGGAGCUCCUGCUGCAUGGGGGGGGUUGGAAAGUUUCGGCGGUUGGGGCUGGACUCGCGGCUUAUCAGCUGGUUGGUGGGGUAGUGGCUUACCAAGGCUUUGACGGGUAGCCGGCCUUGGAGGGUGACCGGCCACCUUGCGCCUACGAUACGGCGCAGACUCCUACGGUAGGCAGAAGUCGGGAAUAUUGCACAAUGGGCGGACGCCUGAUGCAGCAACGCCGCGUGCGGGAUGACGGCCUUCGGGUUGUAAACCGCUGUCGCCUGUGACGAAGCGUGAGUGACGGUAAUGGGUAAAGAAGCACCGGCUAACUACGUG
rnacentral:rRNA from 1 species